CUUGCAAAUUUUCAGGGGACUUAUGUCCGCCCUCCGGAUGCAGACGAUUUAAGUCACAUAACUCAACAGCCCGGAGAGUCAGCCCGCAAAUUCUGGAACAGGUUCCUCACCAAAAAGAACCAAAUAGUCGACUGUCCGGACGCUGAAGCCUUAGCAGCUUUCAAACACAACUUCCGAGACGAAUGGCUCGCCAGACACCUUGGCCAAGAAAAGCCGAGAACAAUGGCCGCACUAACAAGCCUCAUGACCCGCUUUUGCGCGGGAGAGGAUAGCUGGCUGGCAACAUGCAGCACUAGUGACCCAAGUACAUCUGAGGUCAGGGAUGGA
rnacentral:rRNA from 1 species